AAAACCAACUGUUUCUAUUGUGCAUCUUCUUGAUUUUUUUUUUGAACUUAUUCGUUGUUAUGUGAGGGCAAAUAGGCCUUGUCCAUUUCUUUUGCAGUUUGGUUAAUUCUUAUUGUUUGUGUUUUAUCAAUUAGUUUAAAUUAACAUGAGGGCAGUUCAGUGUCCUGUUUAAUAAUUUUUGUGUGUAUCUUAGUGAUUCUUUAUUGAGAUUGCUCUGUUUUUGUGUCACAGGAUCUGGGUGCCAAAGGCAGGGAGGCCGGCUCUAUUCCCUUCUAGUGGUGGUGGUGUUAUUCACAGUGUGCUGUGUCCAUCGGUGGAAAGUGGUGUGUGUGUGUUUGCGUGCACUGGUAAAAGGAAUGAUUUCUGACAGCCUGACCCUGCUGUUUCUCUUCAGGUCAUAAAUGAGGGUGUAACCGGAAGAUCUGCAUUUAUGUCAUUCUCUCACAGUGACCACAAAAGAUAAAAAUAGUAAGAAGAAUUUAGAAAGAGAAACUUCAGCCGCAUACUCACCUGCUGCUUCAUCUGUGUAUUUGCUGUGCUGAUAAACAAAGUGUGUCUGCAGGUCACAGUAGAGGGUUUUAUUGGUGGUUCUGUUGUGCUGCCGUGUUCUUCAGAUAAACAUGAUCAUAAACUUCAAGACAUUGAUGUGUUUUGGAGACACAAUGGCAGCAAGAUCGUAUUUGAUAUAAUUCCACACAGUAAUGCACCAGUGACACAGGAUCCAGAGUACAAGAACAGAGUUGAAUCUUUCCCUCAGGAGUAUCUGAGAGGAAACUUCUCCAUCAAACUGAACAAUCUUCAACACACUGAUGCAGGACAAUACAUCUGUUACAUCUCACACUCAUCUGAAUAUCAGACUGUAAAGCUGAUCAUCAAUGGAUCAAUAUCCACUGAACGAGGAACAGAACAGGAGGAAAUUGUGCCAUCACUGCCUUUGCUCUUGGUUUGCAUUAUAUUACCUGUGAUGUUAUUUGUAGUGGUUGUUAUUUUUAUUGCAGUUUUCUGGAGAAAAAAGCACUCAAUCAGCAGGGCAGCUGGAAACGGUGUGAGUUCAGCCACUCCUGAGGAUGUGAGCCCUUGUGCACAAUUUAAACCAGCAGUCGGUAAAUGAAAAACUGCACUUUUAUGCAGCAACUGCUUGAGCUUUUGCAUUAAAAAUGGAGUCAGAGGAGGUUGGUGCUUUCAUUGUUGUUGCCGCAGCUUCAGGUAGAAAAAUAGAAAUAAAGUCCAGUAAGUAAAGGAUUUGUUUGAAGAACAGAAAACAGCUAGAAUGAGUGUGUUUCUGUAUCUUCCUUAUGUUCACUCUAUAAGGCUACCUAGCAAUCUCUAGUGAUGUGGCCUUUCAUGGUUUUGGAAUUCAAGUCAAUUCCCAAAAAAUUAUCAGGAGCUUGCAAGGUGCUCUACUUAUUCAUAAAUCAAUAUUGUAAUUAGUCUACAGCUGUUUUUGCAGGAAACGUCAUUCUUCAACAAGUCAUAUCUGUAAAGGAGAGAAGGUCUCAUAAGUUGCUUGAAGGCUUAAAAAAUGACCUUAAACUGAUAUGAAUUUUCAAGCACAAAAGGGAAAGCAACUAUAGUGAAUCAUUGGCUUGGCUUGGAAAAAUGUUUAGUUUGCAUAACAUCACAUUUGCUGUGCAUUUAGAUUCUUAAAACAAUGUUUAUGUUGGUAACAUUGCCUAAAUAGCCUUAUAACAACAGCACCAUAUAAACUACUUACCUGGUCAUAUAACAUUUUUAUGAAUAUCCAUCUUUAUUUCAAUAUUUAUUUUUUUCAGGAGUGUUAGAUAUUUUGAUGUUGUAAGCAACAUUCACACUGAUAAGACAAUCGCCUGUAACCAUGGGCUCAGUUUGUUGGCCCAUUUCUGCCUUAUAAGAA